GGGUAUAGCUCAGUGUCAGAGUGCCUGCUUAACAUGCACGAGAUCCUGGGUAAAAGCCCCGGUACCUCCA
rnacentral:tRNA from 1 species